rnacentral:rRNA from 1 species
GACGAACGCUGGCGGCGUGCUUAACACAUGCAAGUCGAACGGAAAGGCCCUGCUUUUGUGGGGUGCUCGAGUGGCGAACGGGUGAGUAACACGUGAGUAACCUGCCCUUGACUUUGGGAUAACUUCGGGAAACUGGGGCUAAUACCGGAUAGGAGCUCCUGCUGCAUGGUGGGGGUUGGAAGGUUUCGGCGGUUGGGGAUGGACUCGCGGCUUAUCAGCUUGUUGGUGGGGUAGUGGCUUACCAAGGCUUUGACGGGUAGCCGGCCUGAGAGGGUGACCGGCCACAUUGGGACUGAGAUACGGCCCAGACUCCUACGGGAGGCAGCAGUGGGGAAUAUUGCACAAUGGGCGGAAGCCUGAUGCAGCAACGCCGCGUGCGGGAUGACGGCCUUCGGGUUGUAAACCGCUUUCGCCUGUGACGAAGCGUGAGUGACGGUAAUGGGUAAAGAAGCACCGGCUAACUACGUG